AUUGAACGCUGGCGGCAGGCCUAACACAUGCAAGUCGAACGAGUGGCGGACGGGUGAGUAAUGUCUGGGCAACUGCCUGAUGGAGGGGGAUAACUACUGGAAACGGUAGCUAAUACCGCCUACCAUCAGCUGUGCCCAGAUUGGCUUUGCUAGUUGGGGGGGUAACGGCGCACCAGGGCGACGACCCCUAGCUGGUCUGAGAGGAUGACCGGCCACACUGGAACUGAGACACGGUCCAGACUCCUACGGGAGGCAGCAGGGGGAAAUAUUGCACAAUGGGGGCAGGCCUGAUGCAGCCAUGCCGCGUGUAUGAAGAAGGCCUUCGGGUUGUAAAGUACUUUAAGCGGGGAGGCGUUACCCGAAGAAGAAGCACCGGCUAACUCCGUGCCAGCAGCCGCGGUAAUUC
rnacentral:rRNA from 1 species